rnacentral:rRNA from 1 species
CCUACGGGGGACAGCAGUGGGGAAUAUUGGGCAAUGGGCGCAAGCCUGACCCAGCAACGCCGCGUGAAUGAAGAAGGCUUUCGGGUUGUAAACUUCUUUUCUCAGGGACGAAGCAAGUGACGGUACCUGCGGAAUAAGCCACGGCUAACUACGUGCCAGCAGCCGCGGUAAUACGUAGGUGGCAAUCGUUAUCCGGAGUUACUGGGUGUAAAGGGCGUGUAGGCGGGACGGCAAGUCAGAUGUGAAAACCAUGGGCUCAACCUAUGGACUGCAUUUGAAACUGUAGUUCUUGAGUACUGGAGAGGCAGACGGAAUUCCUAGUGUAGCGGUGAAAUGCGUAGAGAUCAGGAGGAACACCAGUGGCGAAGGCGGUCUGCUGGACAGCAACUGACGCUGAGGCGCGAAAGCGUGGGGAGCAAACAGGAUUAGAUACCCCAGUAGUC